rnacentral:rRNA from 1 species
ACAGAGGUGGCAAGCGUUGUUCGGAAUUACUGGGCGUAAAGGGCGCGUAGGCGGUCUUGUAAGUCUUGUGUGAAAUCCCUCGGCUUAACUGAGGAACUGCACGGGAUACUGCAUGACUUGAGAUCGGGAGAGGGAAGCGGAAUUCCGGGUGUAGCGGUGAAAUGCGUAGAUAUCCGGAGGAACACCGGUGGCGAAGGCGGCUACCUGGCCCAAUACUGACACUCAGGUGCGACAGCGUGGGGAGCAAACAGGA